rnacentral:rRNA from 1 species
CGGGUGGCAGCAGUGGGGAAUAUUGGACAAUGGGCGCAAGCCUGAUCCAGCCAUGCCGCGUGAGUGAUGACGGCCUUAGGGUUGUAAAGCUCUUUCGCACGCGACGAUAAUGACGGUAGCGUGAGAAGAAGCCCCGGCUAACUUCGUGCCAGCAGCCGCGGUAAUACGAAGGGGGCUAGCGUUGUUCGGAAUCACUGGGCGUAAAGGGUGCGUAGGCGGGCAAUUAAGUCAGGGGUGAAAUCCCGAGGCUCAACCUCGGAACUGCCCUUGAUACUGGUUGUCUUGAGUCCGGAAGAGGUGAGUGGAACUGCGAGUGUAGAGGUGAAAUUCGUAGAUAUUCGCAAGAACACCGGUGGCGAAGGCGGCUCACUGGUCCGGAACUGACGCUGAGGCACGACAGCGUGGGGAGCAAACAGGAUUAGAUACCCCAGU